rnacentral:lncRNA from 1 species
CUUACGUGUUUCUAAUUUGGAGUGAUAUGUGUUCACAGGAAGAAAACACUGAAUUGACCAGAUCCUAACGGGACCAUUGGCAUCGUGGGAGUUCUCACACCUGAGGAAAUGUGAUUUCCAUGUCUCAGAUCUUUAGAAGUGAGAGAAGACUCAUUUUGACUGGUGGUGUGGAAAGAUAGAUCGUGUAGGAAUCGAGAGAUAAAGACCCUCUACAUGACUAUUGUUGUCAAUGAUAAGUGAAAAGAGUGGAUAGAUGUUUUUAAGCACAUAGAUUCUCAAGAGAGAGGAAAAUCAUCUUCAGCCUUUCAAGAAGAACGUGAAAACCAUCUAAACCCAACAUGGACUGGCCUUUGACGUCCUCCGAGUUGGUCUUUUCCAACGAAGUCAGUCACAUCCUCCAUAAACUCGGGCUGGAGUUGGAAGACUUGGAGAUCCUGGUCUCGUACCCCGAAGAUCAGACCACACCCGAAAAGUUGCCUUUCAUCGUCAACCAAAUCCGACUUCAGAAAACUCAAAGGUCUUCGGAGACAGUUCAGUCUCAGACCGACCCUGAACCCAGCACAAGUAUCAAUGAGAUGGAGAAAGUGAAUCAAACCAAAGAAGAAGAGGAGCUACACCAGGAUGUAAAUAUUCCUAAAGUAGAUCAAGUGAUGGACCAUGGGAAUACCAGGAAGGAUACUGGUAUCUUAGAGGAGGAGAUCAGUGAGACUGGAGGCAGUGGAGAUAAAAGUUACGACAGUACCAGUUUGUUGACAGACUUUUGGUUGAAUCAGGAUAGAAGUGAGAUAACCAAUAAUGACACUGGAUCCACUUGUGAACCAGAUCCUUCAAAUUGUGAAUUAAAUAAUCAAAGUCUGAACCAACCGAUCCAGAUGGCUCAAGUUCUCCUUGAAGAUUGGAACUCAGCCUUAACGAGUCCCAGCGCUGAAAUCCUUCCAAUGCCUCCGUUGAAAGGGUCAGAGCCAGAGAUUCCACCAGAGCCACAACCCUCCACUAAUGUAAUCAAGGUUUCACAGUUAGGGCGACGAGGCAUUAUGUUGUAUGACAGCCUCAAAAAACAACCUAAUACCUCCCUCACCGAGCAUGUAAAGGAGCAACAACAGAAGCUACGACUGAAUCCAUCUCACCCGGGGGAACGCGCACUUGAUCAGAAUUCUAUGAGUUUGUGUAACCCCAUUCUGACAGAUUCCAUGCAAACUGUACUCUACUCUACUUACGUCACUCUUCCCACCACCUCCAGUGAGCUGGUUUCAUAUCCAAUACCUGAAAACUAUGCAAAGCUUGACCACGGUCAGCACCCAGCCAAGAGGAAAGCCUCCAAAGGGCUUCAACUGCUGCCUGUAAGUCAUCAGCAGGCUGUGAUAUCUACACCAGGGCUGUUCCCACACACCUGUCCUCUCUGCUUCGAGGAGUGUACGGAUAUGGCGGAAUGGAUUUCUCACCAGAAAACCAACCUCCACCUGAAUAACUAUAAAGAUGCCGUCGGUGAGGAAACCAGAUAUUCCUCUGUGACUUCACCAAAGCAUCAACGCAGGAAAACAAGGAGGAGAAGCCAUUCUGGCUCUCGUUCGAAGAGUCAACGAGAGAGACAAAGCAGCGGUUCACAGUCACGCAGCUACCCCUGCCGUCGCACACCGGAGGUAAGACGUACCAAAAGAAACAGCCGUUCCAGGAGCCCUGCUGGCUACUGCCGUAAAAGGAACACGCGCCAGAGCCGCUCUCCUUCGUCGAGCCUACGUACCUGCCGUAAACCGGCAAAAAGUCCACAACGCAGUCACAGCUCGAAGAGUCAACGAGAGAGACAAAGCAGCGGUUCGCAGUCACACAGCUCCCCCUGCCGUCGCACACUGGAGGGAAGACGUACCAGAAGAAACAGCCGUUCCAGGAGCCCUGCUGGCUACUGCCGUAAAAGGAGCGUGCGCCUGAGCCUGUCUCCUUCAUUGAGCCCACGUACCUGCCGUAGACCGGCAAAAAGGGCUGAUCGCAGCAGUCGGUCAAGUUCGUGCAGUCCUCAACACAGCCAGAGAAGAAAGCGAUCAUCGCAGAGCCCUCGCCAACUGCCAUCAGCGUACAUCUACCGCAACUCAAGCCGGUCCCGGUCUUCCACCUCACGUGAUUCCCCCUGCCGAUCACGUUCACAAAGCCCCGAAAGUCCUUCUUCUCCGAGGAGAAGAGAUGUAUGGUGUUCCUUCUCAAGAAGAUAUGACAGAUUGCGUUCUCCAAGGAGAAGGUCUGAGGGACUAGAUUCACCGAAGAGGAGAGAUGGACGCCAAUCCUCCCCGGGGAGAUCUGAGGGACUAGACUCACACCGACAAGCAUCACCGAAGAUUAGAGAUGGACGCCAAUCCUCUCCGAGGAGAUCUGAGAAACAGUCCUUUCAACGAUUGUCCCCAAAGAGAAUGUUUGAAAGUCAUUCUUCACCAAGGAGAAUUGACAAGAGAGGGUCUUCAUUGAGAAGCAGCCAAGAGGGGAAGUCGUCAUCGGAGAUGUCUUGCCCUCGAAGGCCAAGCAUGGAAGAGACACUGACACAGAAACUUCUACAAUCAGCAGUUGUCCAGUCCCUUCCAAAGGGAGUUGAUGUGGUGGAGAUUGUUAAAACUUUAACCCCUGCCUUGUUGGUCGAGUUGGACAGGAUGAACUCAGCAGAGGUAGCUUCACCUUCGAUGUCAACUAAACUCGAGGAGGAUGAAGCGACUUCUGCUGUAAAGCACGAGGCCACCGUUUCUGCAAAUAGGCGACACAAGCAACUUAAUCUCAAACCUAUUGGGUCUGAACAAAAAGCUCUUAAGUCAGAAGAAUCAAAGUCUAAAACCAAUGUAGGUGAAAAGGACAACUCCAUGAUGUUUUCAUCAACAAAAAAUGCAUCAAAGUCCAGGAGUGAAGAAGCAGGAACCAUCAGUGAUGAGUCAAAUCUAAAAUUACUACCUAAGAUACCCCAAAGCAGAACCACAGAUUCUGCAAAUAAACUGAAACAAAAAAACACAAGUCAGAUCAGGAAACUUCAGAAGUCCCAACUUUCUGAUAAAGACACACUUGAAGGGAGACGGGAGCCAAAGUACUCUGAAAAAUCACCAGAGAGCAGAUCUGAAGCUCCGCAGGAACAGCCGGAAGCCUUGAAAAUGGAGAACACCGGAGUGUCUGAAAGCAAAGAUGAACCAAACGAUGAAUCUGCAAAGUUUAAGGGCAAAAUUGAUGGUUUUUUUGCAGACAGUGAUAAAAAUGUGAAAGAUACAUUGACCGAAACAAAACUUGGUGGGGGUUGUCCAGCUAGAAAAGCAGAUGUCUCUCAGCCAAGACCUCCUAUGAAUCCACCACUGAAUCUUAAACCUGACAUCAGGCCUCCGUCACACGUGGAAAAAGGCGAUAUUACAAAGCCUGAGAUUGUUACACAAAGGCCAAAGUCCGAGACAAAUCCUUCUCAAGUACAAGACAAAGCCAUGACCGCUACAACAAACUACCAAAGCAUGAAUUUGAACUCUGAGAUGACAGGAGAUUGCAAGUUCAUCACGGAUGAGAGUAUUUCUGACGACAGAAACAUAUCCACAGAUAACAAAGCUUCACCGAACAGAGAAACGUGUACUCCAAAUACUACAAGUGCUACGGUUGAGAAUGCUCCCCCUGAUCGAAUUCAAGCUGAAACUAAAGAUCCAUUACUGGACAACUCUGGUAUGAUAACAUUUAAAAAGUCUGUUGAACAAGAAACAGAGACCAAGACCAACGCUCUGCUAGUACAAGAAGAUACAAAUUCCAGGAUAAAGGGCAAAAAAACUUUUGAGGAAGUACGAGAAAUUAGAAGUGUUGACCUAAUAAUGGACAUAACAGAUGACAGUGAAAACAUUUUAAAUGAUAAAGACUUACAAGUACAACAAGAAGCAACUACUUGUACAAUAAACCAUCAGAAUUUUUCAUUGACUAUGGAUACGAAAGGAGCAGAAACUGUUGAACCAAUGACUCUUGUAGAAACCACAGAAGUUAAACCCUUUGUGGACACCAAAGCUUUACCAAACAUAGUGAGUGAUGCCCCAAUGCCUUCACAGAAAACUACUUAUCCACCUCACGCAUUUACUGAACCUGUUGUACAAGACGCAGAGACUGGGACUGAUGCUCGGCAAAUACAAGAUACGACUAGGACAAAAAGCCAAAAAGACUUGGAGGAAGUGAAAGAAGACAGAAGUACUGACCAAGAGGUGGUUCCAAAAAAAGCUGAAGGCAUUUCAAAAGAUGGUGAUCUAGAAGCACAACAACAACUAUCAGCUUUUACAAUAAACCAUCAAAAUGCUUCAUUGACAGUUGAUACAAAAGGAAACAAAUCCAUAGAACCAGUGACCACACUUGAGCCCUUUGUGGCUCGAGGAGAGGAAUUCAUUAACACCAAAGUCUUACCCAACAUAUUGAGCGAUACAGCAAAUCCCAAAGAUCAUUUACAGGACAAACCAAGUACAACUAUAUUUCCAAAGUCUAGAAAUGCUGCUCGGAAAGUACAAGAAGAAUCAUCAUCCAGGACAAAUAGCCAAAAAAUCUAUCUUGAAGUUAAAGAAGAUGGAAGUUUUUGUGUAAUAAAAAACUCUGAAAGUCUUUUUGAAGUAGAACAAGUAGCAACUACUUCUACAGUUGACCAUCAGAAAGCCUCACUCAUCAAAACCACUGAACCAGAGAGUUUUUGUCAAACCGAAGCUUUAUCAAACACGAGUGACAGAACUAUGCUUAACGUAGACACUGCUCUACAAAAACCUCCUCCUGGUCCACCUCAGGCUCCAUUGGACGAUCCAUUUGACAUGUUAUUGGAGCUUAUUAGGUCUACAAAGGAAUCUCAUCUCCGGCUGAGAAGUGAUGAUGUGAUGAAAGAAGCUUCCAAUCAACCCGAUGAAGGUCAAAGUUCCCCUAUUGGCAUUGAAGCUGCAAACCACGUAGAAACAUCAACCAAAUCCAAUCAGAGUCGUCCACCGAACACAAGGUUUUGUUACAAAAAAGAUACAUUUAAACCAAAGACGAAAUAUUUAACAAGUCCAGUUCCAGAGGCUGAAGCUGCAUCUUCAUCAGCCGCCAUUCGCUUCCCGACUCCUGGGGAAAGGUUCGUCAUGUGCCUCCAUCGGAGUUCCCUCCAAUACGUCAACCCCAAAACCCUGAACUGGUCCACAGACUCCGUCACGGACAUGAAGGUGCUGUUGGUGAAAGAACUGCCAGCGUACCGCGUCGGCUUUUACAGUGAGCGUGACGUCGCUGACCUCUUCGUCCCGUUUGGGUUUCAGUAUCCUGAGGAGAACAUUCACAACAUCUACGUCUUCCCCGAGGCUUGCAUGGCUUUCGUGCUCCUGCCAAACAUGAAGGCGGUGCAAUGUGCCAUGGACUCAGCUAGUGGGCGUGGCCUCUGUUUGAAGAGCUGCAGAGUUUCGUUGCAUGUCCUGGACAUCGGCCCCGCCUCAAUGAAACCGAUUCAGUUUUACAAGUUUCUGAUGAAACAAGUCGGCUACAUCGUGACCGACGGUGGAAAAUCAACAGUUUACGUUGAAAAUAUUUCCCCGAGCGAAGCUUUGGACCUCAGAGAACUUUUCAGGACAAACGGGCGAGUGAAAAACUUCCUGCGUCUGCUCAAUAAGGUGUUCAUUGAGAUGCAAUGUGAGUUGGACACAGACGUGCUCGGUGUUUGGUUCAGCCUGAGGCGAGCGCACACGUACAGAUUCUACCGACUGAAAGCACCUGUCGGCCAAGCCGCCACCCUGCCUCCAAAGCCGAGGGUCGACUGCGUCUCCGCUGCUGAAGAUCUGUUCCUCGAGGCCGUCGUUCUGCCUAGGAUUCCGUCCGUCCCGUCAGGCAGCUUUGCUCCGUUUUGGGUCACCGUGACGACUUCGCCCUUCGCGUUCGCCACUCUGUCGCCGUGGUUCAACGUCCCAGAUCAUGUGACCAUCAGCAGCGAGUUGGACGUGCUCCCCCCCCAGGGCGUUGGCGCUCACUGCACCAUCAUGCUAACCGGGUUACCACAAACCAACUACCAACACGAGGACGUGGUCGUCCUGCUGCGGCCGUACCUCCCAGAGACGAAUCCUUCCACCGUGUUCUACAGCGUCAACGUCCUGCCUCUGCAGUGCCGCGCCUUCGUGCACUUCGCCAACAUGCAGCGCUGCCAUCACCUCAUCAGAGACCACCUGAGGCAACCUCUGAGCGUCCAAGGUUCUGAGCUCAGCGUUCACUUGGUCCUGGAGGACAUGGAGCUGGGAUUCAGCGAGGACGCGCUGUUUGUGAAUCUGAUGCGAUGGAGUAACGCAGGCAUCCCUCGGCCCGACGCUCUGCUGCAGCGGCUCAUCUCCGUGGAAGUCUCUCAGUUUUCUCUGGACGUCGUCAAGGCUGUGAUGAAGGAAGUGGCUUCUGUCUCUCCGUUUGUCAACUUCCUGCCGCUGUCCAACAGGAUUAUCGUAGAAAUGGCUGAGCCUGGUGACGUGACGUGUGUUUUGGAGGAAAGUCACUUUCCUGCAGAAGUGUCGGCUGCUCUCAGCGCGGAGAGCCUGAGGCGGCGACUACAAAGCGCUGCAGAAGAACCGCUUCCUUCCGAAUCGUCUGAAACAGAAGCGAGUCCGAAGAAGACGAUUACCAGUACUCGUCGAUUACGUAGUCUUUCUGAACGUUUUCAGUUUGUCAAAAUCUUAAAAAGUACGUCAAAGGUUUUCUGUUAUUUCUUUUUUUUAGGAGUUGUUAAACAGAACAAAGAGAGAGCGAAAAAACACCGUCUCGUCACCGUGCAAACCUCACAGAGAACGUUGAGACGGACCACGACAACCAGCAGACACGUCACCAGAAGCUUCCUGAGGAACCUUCAAAAACAGUAACGCUAAAGAUCAAAGAGGCAUAGACCAAUCAGAUGCUAGUUUACUCUUUACACAUAAACUGUUCUAUGAAGCUGUAAAAAUGUACAUUUCUUUGUUAAAAAAAAAAAGUGAUGUAAAUAAAAACCAUGUUGAUGUGAUUUCA